rnacentral:rRNA from 1 species
CACGUAGGGUGCGAGCGUUGUCCGGAAUUAUUGGGCGUAAAGCGCACGUAGGCGGUUCUCUAAGUCGGAUGUGAAAGCCCUGGGCUCAACCCAGGAAGUGCACCCGAAAUUGGAGAACUUGAAUAUGGAAGAGGGUCGCGGAAUUCCCGGUGUAGAGGUGAAAUUCGUAGAUAUCGGGAGGAACACCAGUGGCGAAGGCGGCGAUCUGGGUCGAUACUGACGCUGAGGUGCGAAAGCGUGGGGAGCAAACAGG